rnacentral:tRNA from 1 species
ACUGUGGUAGUCUAAUAAGACAUCUGAUUUCGACUCAGAAGAACUUAAUCUAUUAAGCCUCAGUA